GGCCAUGGCGCGUGCUAUAAUGCAAAGUCGACGCUUCUUUUUCCCCGGAGCUUGCUCCACCGGAAAAAGAAGAGUGGCGAACGGGUGAGUAACACGUGGGUAACCUGCCCAUCAGAAGGGGAUAACACUUGGAAACAGGUGCUAAUACCGUAUAACAAUCAAAACCGCAUGGUUUUGAUUUGAAAGGCGCUUUCGGGUGUCGCUGAUGGAUGGACCCGCGGUGCAUUAGCUAGUUGGUGAGGUAACGGCUCACCAAGGCCACGAUGCAUAGCCGACCUGAGAGGGUGAUCGGCCACAUUGGGACUGAGACACGGCCCAAACUCCUACGGGAGGCAGCAGUAGGGAAUCUUCGGCAAUGGACGAAAGUCUGACCGAGCAACGCCGCGUGAGUGAAGAAGGUUUUCGGAUCGUAAAACUCUGUUGUUAGAGAAGAACAAGGAUGAGAGUAACUGUUCAUCCCUUGACGGUAUCUAACCAGAAAGCCACGGCUAACUACGUGCCAGCAGCCGCGGUAAUACGUAGGUGGCAAGCGUUGUCCGGAUUUAUUGGGCGUAAAGCGAGCGCAGGCGGUUUCUUAAGUCUGAUGUGAAAGCCCCCGGCUCAACCGGGGAGGGUCAUUGGAAACUGGGAGACUUGAGUGCAGAAGAGGAGAGUGGAAUUCCAUGUGUAGCGGUGAAAUGCGUAGAUAUAUGGAGGAACACCAGUGGCGAAGGCGGCUCUCUGGUCUGUAACUGACGCUGAGGCUCGAAAGCGUGGGGAGCAAACAGGAUUAGAUACCCUGGUAGUCCACGCCGUAAACGAUGAGUGCUAAGUGUUUGGAGGGUUUCCGCCCUUCAGUGCUGCAGCUAACGCAUUAAGCACUCCGCCUGGGGAGUACGACCGCAAGGUUGAAACUCAAAGGAAUUGACGGGGGCCCGCACAAGCGGUGGAGCAUGUGGUUUAAUUCGAAGCAACGCGAAGAACCUUACCAGGUCUUGACAUCCUUUGACCACUCUAGAGAUAGAGCUUCCCCUUCGGGGGCAAAUUGACAGGUGGUGCAUGGUUGUCCUCAACUCCUGUCCUGAGAAGUUUGGGUUAAAUCCCCCAACCAACGCCACCCCUUAUUGUUAUUUGCCACCUUUCAUUUGGGCACUUUACCAAGACUGCCCGUGACAACCCCAAGAAAAGGGGGGGGGUGAAACCCAAAACAAUAAUGCCCCCUUAUAACCUGGGGCUCACACCUGGCCACAAAGGGGAAUAUAAACAAAUUUCGGAAAUCC
rnacentral:rRNA from 1 species